rnacentral:rRNA from 1 species
AGUGAACGCUGGCGGUAGGCCUAACACAUGCAAGUUGAACGGCAGCACAGGAGAGCUUGCUCUCUGGGUGGCGAGUGGCGGACGGGUGAGGAAUACAUCGGAAUCUACUCUGUCGUGGGGGAUAACGUAGGGAAACUUACGCUAAUACCGCAUACGACCUACGGGUGAAAGCAGGGGACCUUCGGGCCUUGCGCGAUGGAAUGAGCCGAUGUCGGAUUAGCUAGUUGGCGGGGUAAAGGCCCACCAAGGCGACGAUCCGUCGCUGGUCUGAGAGGAUGAUCAGCCACACUGGAACUGAGACACGGUCCAGACUCCUACGGGAGGCAGCAGUGGGGAAUAUUGGACAAUGGGCGCAAGCCUGAUCCAGCCAUACCGCGUGGGUGAAGAAGGCCUUCGGGUUGUAAAGCCCUUUUGUUGGGAAAGAAAUCCAGCUGGCUAAUACCCGGUUGGGAUGACGGUACCCAAAGAAUAAGCACCGGCUAACUUCGUGCCAGCCGCCGCAGUGA